UACGUAGGGUGCGAGCGUUGUCCGGAAUCACUGGGCAUAAAGAGCGCGUAGGCGGUCUGACAAGUCCCCUGUGAAAGCCCCCGGCUUAACCGGGGAACUGCAUGGGAUACUGUUGGGCUAGAGUCCGGAAGAGGAGAGUGGAAUUCCUGGUGUAGCGGUGAAAUGCGCAGAUAUCAGGAAGAACACCCGUGGCGAAGGCGGCUCUCUGGGACGGUACUGACGCUGAGACGCGAAAGCGUGGGGAGCGAACAGG
rnacentral:rRNA from 1 species